UUAAUCAGAUAACUCACGUGAAUUAUAUUAAUUGUAAGUAGCGCACUCAGGUUUACUGAAAACGACCUUUCUGUGUGAGAAUAAAACAGCAAUUGUUCCGAAAGUCUUAAGUCUCCACUAGCUGGAGAUCAGGAAUGCCGAUUUAGGUGGGGCAGAAAGAGAAAACGGACUCGCAUACUAAAGCAGCGGACCGGGGUAUUUUUCAUCACCCUCUUCAGAUUCUCCACCAGCCAAGACCUAUUUGGCAGGAUUUUGCACACAGACAUGUCCGCCAGUCGACCUGGAUGAAUUCAGCGCCGGUAUCCAUCGCCAUUUGCUCUCGGAUGACAACGUCCACUUUAUGUGCAGUAUCCGGCUGGACUGUUUUUGACCUCGUCUUCUUCGUAAAAGCACAGUCACAGGAGAGCACAUCGAUCACGGAGGUUAAGGGAACAGAAACAUCGAUCACAGACCUUAAGGGAACAGAAAGCCAUGUCCAGACUUUCUGGAACGUUCUGCUGGCCGGUUGAAGGAGAGGCUCAUGGACGGCCUAUGAUGGGAUCCAGCAAGAGGCCUGCAUUGGUGCAAGGGGAGCUUCAAUUACCAAGACGUUAACGAAGGACCUGCAAGAGGGACGCAGAGUGUUUCACCCUCAAUUCCCUACAUUAUUAAUUUUUCGCUUUUGCCUCCCUCAACCCAAAUUCAAUAUAAACAUCUCAAGCAGAAACAGGCUGACUUGGCACUUGCCUGGAACUUUAUUUCAUUCUCUCAGGAAAACGAUGGUGGAAAAAAAAUGUAUCCCACAACUGUUUUGGAGAUCCUCCAAGUUGAAAGCAUAGAAUCGCUUUAAAAAAAAAAAAAAUCCAAGCGAGCUACGGCUGAAACAUUCCUAGACGUGUAAUGCCUGCCGUUGUGCUUCGUUAUGUUGCUUUAACGUGCUCCAGAAAGUCGUGGGAGCGUUUCACUUCAAGAGUGAGUCACAGUCUCCUUGCAGCAGGUAAGGCAUACAGGAAUUAAGUAGCUGUGCAGCCCCCGUGUAUGGAAUCCGCUUGAUAAUGUGUGGCAGCCCUCCAUAUUACUGGCUUUCAAAACAGACCGUGACGUUGACAUGCAGUAAAAGGCAGGUUUAAUAUGGUUUCUUCGCUAAAUGAGCUUUUAUUGCGUUUUCUUUAUCUCUUAAAUACCCAAACUGCUUCUAACUGAGAAAUUACACAAAAUAAGCCCCAGUUAGCAAUGAGGUCUAAUCUGCGCUAGGGUCUGGCAAAUCUACGCAGACAUUAGCAAACGACGACGGCUCAGUGGCAGUGAUGAUUUGUUGACAUCUAAGGAGGGAAGCAGGGCAACCUUUGCGAGCACCCAGGACCCCUGUGUGAUGGAUGCGUCUGCCUUUCGAAGGGGAGGUUUUUACUGUGUAUUUUAUUUCCCUGCAUUGACCCCGUGCAGCCCUCCUUGACCCCCACCAACCACCCCAAGCCGAAACGUGGCCGAGAAACAAGGCCGAUUAAGUA